UCAAGAUUUGUAUUUCUUUUCUUUUUUUUUUUUCUUUUUGCCUUUUCUAGGGCUGCAUCUGUGGCCUAUGGCGGUUCCCAGGCUAGGGGUCUAAUUGGAGCUGUAGCCACCGGCCUACGCCAGAGCCACAGCAACACCAUAUCCGAGCCUCGUCCGUGACCUACACCACAGCUCACGGCAACGCCGGAUCCUUAACCCAUUGAGCAAGGCCAGCGAUCAAACCCGCAAUCUCAUGGUUCCUAGUCUGAUUCGUUAACCACUACGCCACGACGGGAACUCCUUUUUUUAUUUCUAAUCAAUACAGAAUUGCUACAUGUUAAUAUAAACGACACACCACCCAGCCACACAGUGAUGAGAAGGUGCAGAUUUGUGGAAAGGAAUCAGCCUGAGGACUCUAGGAAAUUCCCAAUAGGUAACAAUGCGUCUGCUUCAGAGUGUCAACGUGAAAAGCUGCCAUCAGCAAGGAGAAUCUUCCUAAAACAGGUGAGAAAGGGUCUUGGAGAAAAAAUUUUUGUACAACAACAAUGUCUACCCUAUGGUACACCCAAUAUUUGAUAAACAGUGAAAUGCAGGGAAAUAGACCUGAAAAUUCAGGUACAAAGGAAUUGCAACAUUUUUGGAUAAAAAUGCAUUGAACAUCUUGCAAAUACUCAAGAUAGGUCUAACGAGGUAUUUCCCCUGCCUUAAAAAAUCAACCCCAUGUACAUUCUUCUUUUUCUGCCUGUCUCUCUUUCUCACUGUUUUUCUCUCUGUGCAGUGAGAAUCUACAGUGUGCUGAGAAAAAUGUAUCUUUUUCCUGCAGCUGGCUCUGAGCUUGUCUCCUGCAGACAGUGAACGGCCCAGAGAUAAAGCCCAUCCCCACCAGGCCUGUAUUUAGCAGCAAUCUUGUGAAAACAGAUCCCCUGUGUUUGCCUGUGGUGGGGUCUGCCGUGUCUCUUAUAGGUGCUUGGCAUGCUGAAAAGAACUGCUGAGUUGGACAUUGAUGGAGACAUGGCAUUCUUGUACAAGGGGACAGGGAAGACCCCAGGGGACCCUGGGGCUGCCGCCUCUGCAGGUGGCGCUGGCUAGCCAGGAGGCAUGAAUU
rnacentral:lncRNA from 1 species